rnacentral:lncRNA from 1 species
CACGGGCAGCGUGCACGCCAUGAUCAUGAUGCCCAUGUACUCCAGGCCCAUGCCCGUGGAGUACUUGGAUGAGGUGAAGAAAAGCAGCUGGGUCAGUCCUGCACCGAAGUUGCCGCCGGCGCCGGUCAUGCCGGAGAUGAUGCCAAGGGAGCGGCGGGAGAUGAAAGGGGUGACACCAAAAAUGGCGCCACAGGCGGCCUGAGCGCAGAAUGAGAAGAGCACCAUGGCGGUGAUUGAGGCAGGGAGUGUGGUAGCGCGGCCAAGCCAAAGGCAGAAGGCGCCGCCUGCGGUCUGGAGGAUCCAGAUGUUCCAAAGGCGGGCACGCAUGCCCCAGUAGCGCGCACCAACAUCGGAGAGGAUCCCACCCAGGGGCCUUGCCACGAUGUUAGCCAUGCCGAAGCAGGCGGCGAUGAUGCCGGCAACUCGAAGGUCCAGGUUGAAGUGGUCGAAGUAGUACUCAGCGAUGACGUUGUCGGUGGUGAGCUCGACGCCCAUGCAGUAGCCGUAGAGCAGGACGAAGAUCCAUGUCCGGUAGUUGGUGAUAGCGUACCACAUAACCUUGGAGAACUUGUCCUUGUUGGCAUCGCCCUUCUUCUGGAGGCUACGGAGGUUGCCAUCGGGGAGGUCUUGCCCCAUGGUGAGCACAAGGAUUCCCAUCACGAUGUGCAGUGACCCAGGCACGAAGUAGGCGAGACGCCACGCCGUGAAGGGUGUGGCGCCGCACUUGCGGAUGAUGUCAUAGACGAGUGGCAUGAUGAGCUGCGUGGCGCCGCCGCCCAUGUUUCCCCAGCCGGCGGCCAACCCAUUGACGGUACCGAUGAUCUUGCUAUUGAACAUGGUGCUCAUCCAGUACUGGCACGACACGAACGUCGCUAGAGAGAAGCCGAUUAGGAACCUGACGACGAUGUAGCCUGCGGCGUCGUCGAUGAUGGCCAUGCAAAAGACAGUGGGCGCGGCGAGCAUGAUGAGGAACGCGCAGCCGUAGCGCGGGCCGAGGAGGUCACACACGGCACCCAUGGCGAGACGGGAGAAGAUGGAGCCGGAGACGGAGGCCACGCCGGCGUUGCCGAUGUCGGCCUUGGUGAGGUUGAGGUUGUCGCGGAUGAUGGGGACCAGCGGCGCCGCGGCGAAGGUGGAGACGAAGCAGGUGAAGAAGGAGAUCCACGAGAGGUGGAAGGUGCGCAUGUGCGGGUUGGCGAAGGAGAAGAGCCUGAUGGUCUUGGCCUUGUGCUCCGAGUCCACCGGCAGGUCGAACUUGCUCGCCGCCGUGGCAUCCUCCGUCGAGAAGGCGAACGUCGGCUCGCGCCCGGUCAUGCCGUGGAGCGAGCUCCCCGGCGCGCCGCGCUCCCCGUCCGCCAUAGCCUAAUUCAAGCUAGCUUCUUGAGCUUGCUUGCUGUUGUUGAUGAGUGGUUGGUGUUCGCAAAUGCUGGUGCUUGGUUGGAGCUUUUUCGGGUUGCAUCUGCGGAGUAUAUAUAGCGAGCCGGGGAGUUGACAUUUUGGGCAUCUUGGUCACGACGCUGGCGCCUGAGAACUCGUGCCAGGCCGUCGACAUGAGGGGUCAUCGAGUUGCUGAAUUAACAAGGUGAAUUAUUGGACCUGACGGGAUGAGUGAAGGAUUAUUGGAGUUUGAUGUACUCAGCGCUGGAAGAGGAAAGGGAUUCCUCGGCGCCGCAUCACCGGAACUGGAAUGGCCCUGGCCUCAUCCCGUGGGAUCGGCCAAGGAUCAGAAUCUUCUGCUGGGGGGCCAACUGGCUGCGUGUCCAGAAUCGGUUCUUAGAUUUUUAGCAGCUGCUGACCUGCUGCAGAAAAAAAAUGGCCAUACCUGCCAGCUGCCGCAAGCCCUUGUUUCUUUUUCAGCUGGUCGACGACGACGACGACUGAAACUUGCCCAAGUUUCAUUCACACUGUAAACACCAGCAACUGUCAGCUCACAAGCCUUGUUUUCUGAUAGUAAUCAAAACUGUGUUCAGACUUCAGACAUUGCUGUGUUGUAACUUUCGGCUCAGGUAAUAAAUCGAUCUCGGCCACUUGUGUUAAAAUUGAGCUCGUUUAAAUUUUUUUUGAAGGAACGGGCACGACAUUGUGCCUAUUUCAUUGAUAAAGCAGGAGGAUCUUAAAAUUUAUCCAUGCCGUUUUGCAGCUGCAAGGUUCAAAUCUGUGGCUACUGGGCUUAACGAACCUUCAGACCCUAAUCAUGCAUGCUAGUGGAACGAACCGUCUAAUAAUUCAGUACUUGAUCCCUGCUAAUUAAAUAUCUGAUGAAGCGUUGCUUAAUUAAUUCCUUAUCUGAUUAUUGAUAUGUUAAGCUUCAGAUGACCAAUAAAGGCCAGUAUGUAGCUUGCUUGCUAGGGAAAUUAAAGAAAGAGGCAGCUGAAGGCUGACGCGCUGCGCGUUUACUGCUGGGCCGACUUCUUGUUCCGUUCGAGUUAACCUAGCUAGCUGCUUCAUCUUUCGCAGCAAUCGAACGCCCAGAGAUGGAUAGACGAACACCAUUCACAUCAUCUGACGCAUACGCGCGCUUUGCAUUGGUCGAUCACCGGUCUGUCGACGACUUUUAUCCAAAUUGCAAAAUACUUAUUGCAGAUUUUCAUACAUACUCCUACAUAUAUAAUUCUGUCAACGAUGACGACCCUAACAGAGAUCGACAUCGAUCUAUCACAUGCAUAAUUCUGACCCAAAUGCUCCAAUCAAGUUGCAUCGUGUGUUCGCUGCCUGUGAAUAAUCAGGAAAUGUACAGUAAGUUUAUUUUCACAUGUCAUUUUUGAAACUAUUUUGUUGGUACAUGAAAAUUCCUGCAACUCGGUAUUUCUUGUGUGUUUCAGCUUUGAAUUGUGAUAAAUAUAAAUAGAUAGGGAUAGGCACUAGGUGAGUGGUAUCUGACCCUUUGAACUUAUCAGGUUUGUUGCAAUUUAUAAGAUAAGCUAGAGCUAGCUAUGAUAAAUACUGUGUCGAAGUGCAUGCGUGAUUACUUAUUGUCAACAAGUUGGCAUGUCGCUAGCUAGCAGUUGCUUUCAAGGGCAUUUGACUCUACCAAUUAAACGAUGUAAUGUACAUGCAUGUUUCACAAAUUUAUUUUAGAAGUUGUGUUACAUAUGAUGCAUCCAAUUUGGUUCGUCCAAGUUCUGCAAACUUGGUUGACAGAUAUGUGCACCUUUUCCAUACUUACAAGUUGGCUGUACAGUACAGUCAGACGUUCAUAUUGUCAACACGGCACCCUCUUUUUUGAUAAAGAAAGCUUUAUUAAUUUUAAAGAACAUUACAUAGAGAUGAUACAAAGUCUUGAACACAAUAAUUCUAACCUCUUUCUUGUAUUAAUUAAAAGAUGGAAGCAUGCAGCAAUGGUAUAGAAUACCGGCACCGUUAGGGAACGUUGAAAGGGUGGCUUUUGGCUUUUCAAUGGAGCGGGAGGGGUGUACUCUCCAAGCAUUUUAGGGUAUGUUCAACAGUUUAGACGUCUGUAAGUCACAUAUAGAUAGUGAAACCGACAGCUUGUACAAUGAUUUAUCUUUUAAGUUGUCUGCAAGUUAUUUAAUUCAUUCAAAUCAAGGUGAUUAGGGAUAAAUAUGAUCUAUGUAUGCCAUUUUGUUGCUUCUUCACUCAAUGCAAUGCAUGCUUCCUGAGGCAAUCAAGAAAGAAGCUUCUCCCCUUUAUGAUAUUACGCCAAAACUUGCAGGUUGAAGCAUGCUAGGGAGGCAGGAUUGGUGAUGUGAGACAGGAUCUUAUCGAUCAAAUCCACCGGAAGCUGCAGCAUCACGCCAUCAUCCAUGAUCCUUUUCUGCAAAGAAAAGACAGGCAUCGAUUUUGUUUAAAACACAACCAGAAGGAGACCAGCUCCAAAUGAACUCAAAAGAGUUCAGGCAACUGAUUUCCUUAUUUUUACCUCAAAGAAAAUUUGUUCUCUUAGAUGUACUAUAAGCAAUAGAAAGAACCACAGAAACUUUGGCAGCAUAGCAAAACAACGGAUUUGGAUUCACCCCAAAAUAAUCUUGUAGAGUUCUUGCAGCAGAGAGUUCUGUCUCCAGAUUUGCUAUUGUCUUACCUAAAGUCCUGCAAGAAGCCAGCUCAACUGCAAUUAGAAACAAUUUCGUAGAAGCUUCCCUGAAUCAAAUCAAAGAGAGAAAAAAAUUACUUUUUGUAUACUGCAAUUAGAAACAAUUUCGUUAUACUACAGUCUCCAGCCAUAAGCUUAGACUCUUUCCCUCUUCUUUCAUUUGGUAUAGCUACCUCUUUCCCUCUUCUUUCAUUUGGUAUAGCUACCUCACUUGCUUCAGGCAAUGUCCACAUCCUGGAGAGAUCUCACCCGCAUCCGCUCCCCGCAAAAUGUAGAAGUGAGCUCACCAGAAGACCACGGAUCUCACCCGCAUCCAUCCUACGAAUACUCGGGACUAUGCAGAACGAGCCACCAAUAUACUCGAAUCUGAACAUCCUAUCGGGCACCGGAUUGAUUGAUUGGUUACCUGUUCGUGAAGAGCAGGCCGAGGCAGAAGCUCCCGACGCAGAGCAGCAGCACCCAGCUCCUAGCCACGCAAUCUGCGCCCCCUCCCUUCCUCCAACUCAUGGCCGCCGCCGCACUACUGGUCGUCCUCCUCCUCUGAGUCUCAGCUCCCGCGGCAAGAGGCGUGGCGCGGCGGCGGCCCAGGUAUCCGGCCUCGCCUCCCGUCGGCGUCCCAUGCGGAGGGAGGGGAGCCAGAGGAGGCGUGGCGCGGCGGCGGCUCAGCUAUCCGGCCUCGCCUCCCGUCAGCCUCCCGCGCGGAGGGAGGGGAGCUGGAGGGGAAUCGGUUGGAGCAGCACGGGUUGAUUUUCGCACUCGAUCCGGAGGUACGCGGAUGGAUCGUACAACGGGGCGUGGAGGUCGUUGCCGGGUGUUGGAGCACGAGCCCGCGUCAUCGUCUCGCGAGACGACGGCGCCCGUCGCUUGGCUCAGACGAGGACCUUUUUGCAAAUACGCCGACUCCCAGACGGCUCACAGAUAAACGUGCCCUUGUAGUACACGCCAGCUUGCUGCAUUCCCGGAAGCUGGGAGCUGAAAAUGUCUCACACUCACGUCCAAAACACAAUGAGUUUGACGGUGUUGACACCGGCAAUCAGAUAUUCAGGUCCCGUUUGGUUCACCCCGCUUAUUUUUAGCACCCGUCACAUCAAAUAUUUAGAUACUAAUUAGGAGUAAUAAACGUAGACUAUUACAAAAUGACAGCACAUAAAGCGAGGGUAGACGGCGAGACGAAUUUAUUUAGCCUAAUUAGUCCAUGAUUUGACAAUGUGUUGCUACAGUAAACAUUUGCUAAUGAUGGAUUAAUUAGGCUUAAUAUGUUCAUCUUGCCGUUUAGCCUCCACUUGUGUAAUGGAUUUUGUAAAUAGUCUACGUUUAAUACUUCUAAUUAGUAUCUAAACAUUCGAUGUGACACGUGCUAAAAAUAAGCAAAGGGAACCAAACGCCUCCACAGAUCAGGCAGGCUCGAAAUCCUUUUCUUUGAUUGGGCUGGGCCAAGGUUUAUGUGAGCGGGGACGUGUGUAGCAAGAACACAUGUCUAUUUUCCCUGUGAGGCUCAGGUAGGCCCAUGUAGCGGAAAGGCGCAACUGAGCCGUUGUCCAGGCGCAAUUGAGAGAGGGGAGAAAUAGAGAUGCACCCAUUGUGUGGGCCUUCCAAAAGCCCAGCACAGUACCCAGUAAUAGCUUCGUCAUCUCUCAAAAAGAUUCUAACUCGAGGAGGAGGAGGAGGAAGAUCACGUCACAUCUGACAGACCAUGGAGACAUUGUAACCUGUAUGCAGUUUUAUUUUGUAAGGACCCUGUAUGCAAGCAGUUAGGACGACCGAAUAUAAUGGCAUCAUGCUUAUACAUUGGAAUACAGGUAUGCUCAGUCGGAUUUUGGAUGAGGUACGUGUCAGUGUUUAAACCUGAUAACCUAUCGAGGGAAGUGUCGGUUCGUCGAGAUCAGGAACUCGAAGGUAAAUGUAGACACAAUUUAGAUAGGUUUGGGCUGCUGAAUAGCGUAAUACCCUACGUCCCGUGUGUUGGUUGGAUUGAAUUGCCUUGGAAGAGAUCCCUACCUCACCUUAUAUUGUCGGGGACAGGGUUACAGGUCGGUUGAUUACAAGAAAACUAGUCGGAUUCGACUAGACGAGUUCUACCCUUAUUGCUACGAGUACUUUUCCUAAUCCUCAACUAGUUCCUAUCUUUCCAUGUAGACUACGCCGUCUUGCGCUAUAGUCUCCAUGUCAGAUUCGUCUUGGUAUUCAGCCCCAUAUUUAGGACUGUCCAAACCUUCUGGUGGGCCCAUAGAUGUAUUUACAGCAAGCCCCCGAGUACUUUUUAGUCAAACGAAGUAGUUCCGAGUACUUUUGUGGUCUUUACCGACUAGUUUUGGUGCUCUUCGAGUACUUCGUCUGGUUGAAUCUUCAAAGGUACCCAAAAACUACCAUGCUGCUAGAAUGUAAUCAAGCCUCCUUUAACUUAGUGUUGUAUCCUUCAACUUUGAAUUUCAUAUGGAAGUGCGACGAAAGUUGCACUCCAUAUAGAGUAGCCCCCGAGCAUUAGGUUGAAUCAAAGAAUCAAGCUGAGGGUCAAUCUGUAAUUUGCAUCACUUUCUCCUUAAAGCUCAGAAAAAACUUUUUGUCGAUAGACAUGUGGCACACAACCCCCGAGACUUUAGCCGACUAGUUUGGUGGGCAAAAGAGUCAACCUUUGGUCAAUGUGACCAUCUAUGAAAGGAAAUCUUAUCUCUUAAAAAAAUAAAGGUAACUACCAAUUCAGGUGCCCCGAAAUCUACGGAUCCCUAAAACCAAAAUCCCUUUAUUUGUAUCCGUUGUUACCGCACCACUGUGAUAAAUAACGGAGGAAGUUAUCCCUUCCAUUUCACCUUUGCCAGUUGCCUUUCCAAUCUCCAUACUGUAGCUGUAGUGCCGCCGCUAUCUAAUCUCCGAGCACUAGCGCCCCCCAACCACUUAGCCCCCGAGUGUAUGUGACAGAAGAAAGUCGUGACAUCAAGGAUGCGGAGGAAGUGUAACGUCCUGGAAAAAUUCACCAAGUUAAAUCACUCGCUAAAAAUUAUUUCCAAAAUUUUUUCACCGUUUGAGCUCGCAAAUCCCAUCUUCCUGGCGAUUCUACUGUCUCGGCACCAAAGCCAACCACCGUCCAUUUUCUUUCUUUUUCACCUGUGCGCCACGCCUCGUUGCCAGCCCGAUCGCUUCCGCAAAUCUCCGCCGACCACCCUCCAUUUUCUCCCUUUUCCUCUCCGCAAGUCACACCGCGUGCCAGUUGGAAGACCGCCGCACCCGUGCUCGUGACCACUUCCGCAAUCGCCACCGUCUCUCUCACUCUCUCUCUUUUCUUCUCCUUUUUUCCAUCUCUCUUUUUCCCUUUUCUUUUUUUCCUUUUCCUUCUCUCUUCCUUUUUUCUUCCCUUUUUCCGCUUCCUCCUUCUCCCGCACGCGCCUGCCCCAGUACGCCACCGCGCCCUCCUGUCGCACCACCACGCACGCAUGCCCCCGCCGCCCUGCCGCACGCCACCAUCCCAGCCUCAUUGCCCGCGCGCCCUGCACCUUGGCCCGCACCAUACCACAGCGCCCAGCGUGCCACGCGCCUCGCGUCGCGAACCUGACCGUGCAUUCGCUCGCUCUUGCACCCGACCCCGCCUCUGCCUGUGCUUGGGCCCACUCUUCGCCGCACACGCACGCCACCGCUCCCCGCUGCCGCAUGCCCCUAGCCCCGAUCUCACCUUGGUGCCCGUGCCCAACCCCGCCACGCCACGCACGCACCUCGCCACCGCUCCUGCCACCGGCGCGCUGCCCGCCGCCAAAUCGCCGCGCCGCCCAACGUCUGGUCUCCGCACCGCACGGCACAGCGCCGCCCUGUGCUCCGCCCUUGUGCCUCGCCUUGUGCCCGAGCAUCCCGGCCGCCAUUAGUGCCGCCUCCCUGUGCGCUGCCCGUUGGCCGCCCCCUCCCUCUUUCCUCUGGCCUAUAAAAGGCCCUCCACUCCACCACCAAGCCUUGGCCAUCUCUCUCCCCCUUCUGUGCUCCCAGCACUGUCGUCCUGUACCGCCACCGCCGCAUCCUGCCGCCAUCGUGGAGCUUCCCCUCCAAGCUGCCUAGCCCAAGGUGAGAAGGGGAAUGGAACCCCCUCACUCCCCUCUCCUUUUCCCCCACUCCCCGGCUGCUGCCGCGCUUUGGGACGCCGGCGCCUAUGUGGCUAGGCCGUCGCCCAUGCCCGGCCAUCCCCCUCCUCUGUUUCUAUCUCGUGAGGAAGAAAGGCAGUUUUGCCUUUUGUCCCUCCCCUUAUUCCUUUGUACACCGAGACCCUCCCCCGUCUCUUUUCUUUUUUCAUUAGGAGCCCUCCCUCUCUCAAAGAUAAUUACAAAAAGGUCCUUGGACUCUUUAAAACCAACCCGUAAUCACCUUCUUGGCGACAUUUUAUGCACCAAAUUUUCUCCUAUGAACCCCAAAUUCGACCACUCCAUUCUUAAACAUAUUCCCAUCGGGUCAUAUACCAUUUCCCUAAAAACACUCUUCCUUCCUCUAUUUUAUUGUUCACUCCCUCUCUCCGAGCUCAAUGGGUAAAACUUUAUUUUCUUUUAUUUAUUGUGUGCUCGCUCGUGUGUGCCUUAGAUCGCGGAGUGACCGAGGAGGAGGAGCCCAAAGAGGAGCUUGAAAGCCAGUACUGCGAGCUGGAGCCCGAGGACCUAUACCGCGAGCAGGAACUCCCGGAAGGCUUUGAGGACGGCAUGUCCAAUCUCACCCUUUGAUGCAUAUUUAUCCUAGUUUUAUAGACACAACCUAUUGACCAUUUUUAUAAAGUGCGUAUUGUUUUACCGCUUAAAACCCGGUUGGAUAGCCACCUCUUGAUUGCUAUGACUAUUCCUUGAUGACCUAGAAUUAUCUCUGAAUAUGAUAUGCUCUGUUUAGAAGAUAAUUGCUGCUAGAAUGCUUAUGAAUUGAUUACUUUCUUUACUAUAACUCCAUCAUGAAUACAAUGUUUUGCCAAAGAUAAAUGCGUGAGUGUUUUGGUGAAAAUAAAUGGGGUUUUGGUGAAAGAUAAAAGAGGAUGUUUAGAUUAGACGGAUGAGUGUUUCUUGUGUAAAAUGCCAAAUUGGCCUCGUACCUUAGUGGUUGAGCAGGUUGGGAGAUAUCCGUCUUGUCUUGGUUAUGAACCAAGUUGAUGUGUCAUCUUGCCUAACCCAAUUUAUUGUGCAACCACUCGACCUUUGUAUGCAGCAAAGGCUUAGCAUAAAUCCCACUAGCUAGUCUGUUAACCAUCAGGAGAGCUGGUGAGCAACGGGAGACCAUGGAGAAGGAGUAAGCACGUGUGGCUUAGGUCCCGGUUAAGACCUUGUUGGUAGGUCAUCGGCCCCUUGGUUGCUUCCGUGUUGGCUAGUCAGGUCUUAGCUAAGGUGGGUAAUGGCUUUGAUUGGAUCCGCGCUGACACUAAGGUGUUCGUGUUGCAGUACCCUACUUUAUGGGUAAAGUGUACACCUCUGCAGAGAUAAAACCUAUUCGAAUAGCCGUGUCCACGGUGUUGGAUAAGUUAUGGUUUAGGCACAUAACUAGCUUUUGGGAGAUGGAUAAUUUUUAUGGUGUGUGUUGGAUUUUGGAAGUGUCUGGUAGUUGUGCCGUAGGCUACCGCGGACAGGGAGUCUGGUAGCAUUAAAAUUUAGAUCCUUUGUGUAGGAUCAACCCCACUCAAAUAUUCGGUUACUAAAUAAAUGCUUUGUGAAAACCUUUUUAAAGUGAACCCUUGCAUGUGUUAAAAACCUAGCUUUACUGCAAACGAACCUUAGCCUUAUCCUUGUUAUGACUUGUGCAUAUUCUUAUUUUUACCCCCUCCGUGGGUGUGGUUGGACUUGUUGAGUACUUUUGUACUCACCCUUAUUUUGUUGCUAUAGAGGAAGACCCAUACUUCGUUGCUGAGGACAUCGAGUAGGUGGUCGCUUCCGCACCUAAUGUUGCCUGUGGCGUUGGUCCUUUGCAGGAUGCUUUCGCUGGCGUGUAGUUCCGAGUGCUGUCUAGCGUUCAUCUGGACAGUAGAUUGGAUUGUUACCAUUGUUUAUUUACUUAUCAUUUUGGUGUGGCUUCCGCGCCCGCUCCCUUGGGAGUUGUACGGUUCUUGAACCAUCUGUUGAAUAAAUGUGUUAUUAGCCUCCUGGGAUUGAUAUUUGUAUCACAUUUAAUCUCUGCUUAUGUGGGGACGCUUCAGGAAGGCUGCCGCUGUCAAGGGGGAAAAGAAGAAGAAAGGAUCUGGUAAGGAAAAAGAUCUUCAGUUGCCAGCGUCCAAGUACGGGAAAAUCAAUCAGACCGCGCUGCCAACUCCUGCUUGCGCUUGGAAGCGGUCAUCCUUGAAAGAGGAGGAGAUCAAGAUGCUUGUGGUUGCCAAUUUCAUCGAGCGUGGUCUUGCACUGCCAACUUUUGACUUUUUUUGUGGUCUUCUGGAUUGCUAUAAGUUGGAGCUCGUUCAUCUAAAUCCCAAUAGAAUUCUCCACACUGCCAUAUUUGUGCAUUUCUGCAAAGCUUUUCUACCCACUUCCAGUUUUUCCGAAAUUUUUCUAUGUAAAGCCGCAACUAAUGAGGGAUCACACUCAAGUAGUCGGAUACAACUGAUGAGGGAUCACACUCAAGUAGUUGGAGGAGCUGGUAUCCAGAUGUGGGAGAAACUCAGCAACCUGCAUCUAGAUUAUGAGUUGAUAGACUCCAAUGCUGGGUGGAAGGCAAAAUGAUGCUAUAUUGGCAAUCAUGAUCCUACCCGAACUGAUAGGACAUUGCCCCUUUUGGAACAACCAAUGGCUUGAUGAGCCAACACAUGGGAAUUGUGUCCAACUACCCGAUCUCAUUGAUAGAAUAGCCAAGCUGAAGCAAGAAGGACUCAUUGGAGUUGGAGUAGCCUUCAGUUUUUUGAAGCGACAAAUCCAGUCCUUGUAGCAGCGAUGUCAUUGGGGUUAUGAGUAUACUGGUGUCAAUGAUCCAUCCAAACUUUCUCCUGAUGAGCUCACCAUGAAAUUAUGGUGAGACUGAAGCGGAUGUUCAAAAAUGUGGGCGAUAUCCCUACUAUUGUGCGAAAAUUCAACGCCGCCAACCCACAAAAGCGUGUAAGUACCCAUGGCCAUAGCCCCCGACUACUUAUUUGAAGUUGUUGGGUUUGCCAACUUGUCUUUCUUUGUAGAAAGAUGUCAGCUUGUACUUUUCUGCUCCUCCUCCUCCUCCCGGAUCGGAAGAUACUUGUGAAGUUGCUCCUCGCAUGCAUACGACGGAGAGCGCUAAGAGUGAUGACGACCAAGAGGAGAAAGUACUUGAGUCCUCUAGCGGCACUAGCUCUGAUGCUGUAGAUGAAGUCAGGGCUCAGCCGUCUACUAAGGCUGGGUCUUCCUCCGGAAUAUGGAAACACUCAGUUGCAGAUGAGCUUGAAGCUGCGAUUCCUCCACCACCGAAGAAGAAGUGAUCCGUUAUUGCAAAACAGGUCAUGAAGAAGUCUGUCACCGCAGAAGAUGUGCCGCCUAUAGUAAUUACUUAUGAGGAAGGACAAGAUCCUAAGGAUCGUAUAUUCCCAAUAGGCGAUUCCAAUAGCACCACCGUGUCUACUCAAGAUGACAUUGGUGGUUUGCAGGCACUCAAAUGCAACCGAGGCGGAGAAUGCAGCUGCUGUGGCCGCUCAAAACAAGUCACCAAUCAAAAUUGAGGAUGAUCCAGAGCCUCAAAAUGUCACUAAGGGUGAUCCUCCGGUGAUGAAACCCGCUGGCGCAGAUACAACUCGAGCAGAAGAGGCGGAGCUCAAAGCUGGCCAAGAUCCUAUUAUGGAUGUGCAGGCCGCGCCGAAAGCACCUUCUCCAGCUGUCAAGCUGCUGCGGUUGUUUGGAGAACCCACACUAAAGCUGAGGAGAUCGUCAAGGUAAUCUUUUAUGCCCUUUCUGAGUAUACUAAUUGCAACUCAAAAUCAACUUGUUGUGUCGCUAAAACUUUGUCUUAUGAAGGAAAUCCUCUGAUAUGGACCUUGGAGGGCCUAGCUUGAGGUCCGUGACCGAUGGCGAUGGCCCUUCAGUCCAGGAUGCUGCCGCGGCCGAAGAAAAUCUGUAGCCAGAGGAACACCCCGUGACAAUCUAGGUGUCGUAUCAUUUGUAGUAGUGUUGAUACGAGAUGUCAUAUCAUCAUUGACUGAGGUUGUAGUGCCAGCCCCCGAGAAACAAGUACUUGAAAAGGUGAUGGCUGCUUUUGUUACAACGACCAAUGUUGAUAUCUUAACCUCUGAGCAUCAAGUACCCGAGGAGGUGCCAGCUGUUGUGGACGUGGCGACUAUUUCUACAACCCUUGAGCAACCAAUUGCUAGUGAAGCGACGACUACCUCUUGCACCGUGGUUGCAGAUGUAGCCCCCGAGCCAGAGAUAAAAGUCGAGGCGGUGACAACUCUUGAUGCCAUGACCGUCAAUGCAUCUUCCCAGGCGGGGAUGUCAACAAGGCUUGAGAUGGUCCCUCAUGCGAGCGCGGAAGCUGAGACUAGCACUGAUAGGAAUAUGACUUUGGAGGACAUCCAGCUGAUUGAUGAUCCACUACUAAACCCAGAGAUGAUAGCUACUAUCAUGGAGAUGCACCGUCAUCUUGACACUUAUGCGGAGGUGAGUUGAAUUUUCCUUGCUUUGUUGGCAUGAUCACUGGCACCCAUGUGUUUAACACGAGUACUGAUUUUUGAAUUCUAGAUCUUGAUCAAUCGCUCCCGUCGCAAGUCAGAGAUGCUCGAGGGGUAUGGUGAUACCAAACUCUGUGCUAAAGUAUUGGAGAAGGAGCUUGCCAAGGAGAAAUUGUACACCUCCCGCUUGAUGAUGAAGCACGAUAGUACAAGGGCGGCCUUCUAGAGCCGGAUUCAAGACCUGGAGGAUGAAAUGGAUCAUCUUGUUGCUCGCAAUAAGUCUCUCAAUUAGAAAAUUGAAGGUAGUCUCCUCUCCUUUGAUGUUUUUUGACUACUAAUUGUCUAACGAUCUUGCUGAUCCCGUGCUAAUGUUGUACAGAAUAUAAGAAAUUGGAACUAGAGCUUCAAACAUCAAUCACCGAUUGGAAGAAUGCAUUCUACCAGGUGACAGAUCAACACGAUAAGCUGGUGCAUCAUGUUGAGAAGUUGGAGCAUGAUCUGGAGAAGGAGACGCGGAUGCGCGAGGAUGGCGAGGUUGAUCUGGUCAAUGCCAUGAAGACCAUCUGAGAGCGCGAAGCAAAGCUGGAAACUUCCAAACUCGCUCUAAAGGAGAUAUCUGAAGCGGCCGAGCCAAUAGCAGAUAUGGUGGAGCAUCUAGUUGAGGGUGUGGAGUCUCGUCCGCUACCUGAAGUACUCAAGGACGUGCUAGAGAAAUUCAUCGGCUUUAUUCAGAAGAUGGCGAAGUCUUUCUCCAAGCAACUGUUGAGCUUCAUCAAGUCUUUCUAUCAUCAAGCUGAUCUGGCUCCUGUUGCAGAGGGUAUAGUAGAGGAUUGUUCGGAUAAACUCUUUCAGGACUACUUGUAGGAGAUGGACCCCAUUGCAGAAGAAGUAGCCAAUCAUCAGGUCCUUGAGUAGUUCUGUAUUAAAGCAAACAUUAGUUCUGUAUUGAAAACAUGAUACGAAUGCUUUGUAAUGUAAAUAUUUCUAAGUCUUGUUGCAAUCUCUGCUACUUUCGACUUAUUGUUUUUUAGUGCAUCUUACAAUCUUCCCUGAUAUUUGCUUGUACGGUAGAUGUAAGUGUCUGCGCACAAGGCUUCUUUGAUAAGUCUCAUCAGAUACACGAUGUAGAGUACUUAAGACACGCCUCCUUUUGUGGAGCCCGAGCACUCAAGGUAUCUAGGUAGUAGACCACUGGGCAAGUAAUCUCUUCAAGUGAUUAGAGCCUAUCAUUACAACUUCUCUGAGUUGUAUCGAUGUUAUGCUCUGGAAAGCUUAAAGCUACAGUCUUAUUUAUACAAGCCAUGAUUUAGGCUAAAUAGCCUAAUGAGUAGUUUGUCAAGUGAUUAGGUAACCUCUGAAGAAGUGUUGACUCAUCUUUGCAAGCUGCAUUGGAUAGAGUUGUCCAAUAAGUUGUCGCUUUACUAGCUGCAAACUUGAUUUUGCAAGCCGCGAUUGGACAGUUUUGUCUUAGUAAGGUUGAAUAACCUUUUUGUGAACCGCAAACUUGCUUCUGCAAGCUGUGAUUGGGUGAUUCUGUCCAAUGAGUUGAAUAACCCAUUGAGAUUUUGCAGACUUGUUAAUACAAGCCGUAUUUGGGUGAUUUUUUCCUAGGGAGCUUUUAUAACUCGUUGGAGUUUUGCAGAUUUAUUAUUACAAGCCGCAAUUGGGCGAUUUUACUCAGGGAGCUGAAUAGCUCUACGAACUUGCUUCUGCAAGCCACAGUAAGGUAGAAAUAAGUAGUCGAAUUACGACAAAAAAUAUGUCUGCUUUAUUAAAUUGUAAAUCUACAACUAGGGCCGAUGGCCAAUUUGCCUGAAUAUGCAAAUCUAAAUUAGGGAUAAAAUCGACAUAGUUGCUUGAUGUUCCACGAGUUGUCGACAUCUUCACCAGAGAGAUGUUGGAGCCUAUAUGACCUAGGUCCAAUGACCUUGGAGACGACGAACGGUCCCUCCAUGGUGAGUUUAACUUGUGUAGUCCAUUGGUAUCUUGGAUACGCUUGAGAACCAUAUCGCCUAUAUUGAAUGAACAUUCUUUGACGUUGUGAUCAUGAUAGCGGCGGAUUUCUUCAAGGUACCUUGCAGACUGGACGAGUGCUGCACAAUGAGCUUCUUCGAGGCUGUCUAAAUCUAGAUGCCUUGUUUCUUCUGCUACACCUUCCUCGUACGGCUCAACCUUUGGGGAUUUCCAGAUGACGUCGGCAGGUAGGUUAACUUCGAAUCCUGUAGGCUUGCACGACUGGGUACGGAGUCCCCAGAGGACAUUGGGUAGUUCUUUGAGCCACUUUCCUCCUUUCGUGUUUUUGAUAUCAUGCAGCCUUUUCAUGAGAGCCUCCAGUAUAAUCCCAUUAGCGCGCUCAACCUAGCCAUUGGCCUGUGGAUGAGUGACAAAGAUGUACCGGAUGUCGAUCCUACUGUUCUCGCAAUAUUCCCAAAACUCAUGAUUGUUGAAGUUGGACCCCAGGUCUGUGAUAAUGCAAUUGGGGAAGCUGUUGCGGUGGACAAUUUCGUCAAGGAACUUGAGUACUCUGUUUGCUUUGGGGCAGGUUACUGGUUUCACCUCGAUCCACUUGGUAAACUUGUCCAUUGCCACUAGUACUCGGUUGAAUCCUCCAGGAAGGGUAGGGAGUGGGCCAAUAAUGUCGAGCCCCUAGCAUGCGAAGGGCCAAGAGGGUGGUAUGGUGAUCAUUUUGUAUGCAGGGACGUGUUGUUGCUUGGCAAAAUAUUGGCAUCCUUGGCAUCGGCGGACUAGUUCCUCGGCGUCAACGAGAGCUGUAGGCUAAUAGAACCCUACUUUGAAAGCUUUUCCCACGAUCAUGCGUGAAGACGAAUGAUUGCUGCAAAUGUCUUUAAGGAUCUCCUCUAGUAUGUUCUUGCCAUCUUGCCGUAUGAUGCACUUCAAGAGUACUUAUGACGUUGUGCCUCUUCUGUAAAGCUUGUCUCCAACUAAAACAUAGUUCUUGUUGCGUUGUAAGACUUUCUCGAUCUCUAUUUUGUCUGAAGGUAACUUGUGCUCUUUGAUGUAGUCAAUGAAGAGAGGUCUCCGGUCUACGUCGAUCAUCAUAACCUCUCGAUCUGGUGCGGUAGGGCCUCGAUAAGUGAUUGUUGAUGGUGCCGGCUCCGAUAUGGAUGGCUUGUGUAGGUCAUGGAUGAAAACCCCUGUUAGAACUUGAGCACGAGUAGAUCCAAGCUUGCAUAGGAUGUCUACGGCAACAUUGUUAUCGCGAACUACAUGGUGGAACUCCAGACUAGAGAACUUGUUCUCUAUCUUGCGUACUUUUAGGCAAUAUGCAUCUGUGUUCUCCUUGUGCAGAUCCCACUUGUUAUUGACUUGAUUGAUCACCACCAGUGAGUUGUUGUAGACCAACAAUCACUUGAUUCCUAACGAGAUUGCAAGAAGGAGCCCAUGCCAAAGUGUUUCGUAUUCAUCUUGAUUGUUGGAUACUUCCUAGAAAAUUUGCAGGAUGUAUUUGAGUUGUUCACCUUUGGGAGAUAUCAAGAGUACUCCUGCGCUAGUGCCCUCGAGCUUGAAUGAUCCAUUGAAAUACAUGACCCAAUGCUUUGGGUGCUCUGACGGCAUUGGUAGUUGAUUCUCUCGCCACUCUGCCAUGAAAUCAACUAGGGCCUGGGACAUGAUUACAGUCCUCAACUUGAAUUCCAGGGACAAUGCUCCGAGUUCUACAACCCACUCAGAUAUUCUUCCUGUUGCAUCCCGAUUGUGGAGAAUUUCUAAGAGGGAAAUCUAUGACGACGGAGAUAUUGUGCUCCUGUAAGUAGUGUUGUAGCAUUCGCGAGGUGAGUAUAGCAAUUUUUGGACCAACGAGUAUCUGGCCUUGGAAUCUGACAACACCUCGCUGACGAAGUAAACAGGCCUCUAUACUUUGUAUACAUGGCCUGGUUCUAGUCUUUCAACCACGAUCGCCGUGCUGACGACAUUGGUAGUCGCGGCGAUGUACAACAGCAAGUCUUCAUUGGGGUUUGGCACCAUGAGGAUUAUAGGUUUUGAUAGGAAGUCCUUUAAUUGUUGUAGGGCUUGAUCUGCCACUUCGGUCCACUAAAAUUUGUCUUGCCGCUUGAGUAGUUUGAAGAAGGGUAGGCCUCUUUCUCCAAUCCUUGAGAUGAAUUUAUUGAGGGCCGCCAUGCAUCCAGUCAGCAUCUGGACAUCCUUGAUACCUGAUGGGGCAUGCAUAUCGGUGAUGGUAGAAAUCUUCUCGGGGGUAGCUUCAAUAUCUCGGUGACUACUGAUGAACCCGAGUAGUUUUCUGGAGGGCACGUCGAAGAUGCACUUUGUCGGGUUGAGCUUCCACCGAAAUUCUCGCAGACUUGUGAAGAUUUUUUCUAGAUCCGCAAUCAGGUUGUUGGGAUUUCUGGUCUUUACAACCACAUCAUCCACGUAAAACUCUACGUUGCGGUGUAGCUGCUUUUGAAAGCACUCCUGGUGUCGGAUUUACUAGCCCGACAGUCCACCAGGAGGUCACCCAAAUGAUUGAUAAGUGGCGCCUGCGUUCUUCAACCCGAAAGACAUUGUUGUGUAGCAAAAAACUCCAUAGGGGGUGAUGAACGUGGUCUUGAUAUGAUCUUCCUCUUUGAUAGCUCUUUGGUGAUACCCCGAGUAGCAAUCGAGGAAACAGAGGAGGGCGUAUCCAGCUGUGAGUCGAUAACUUGAUCAAUCCUCGGGAGCCCGAAGGGGUCCUUUGACUAUGUUUGUUGAGGUCUGUGUAGUCAACACACAUCCUCUACUCAUUGUUGUUUUUCUUUCGCACCAGGACGGGAUUGGCAAGCCAUUUUGGAUGAUAGACUUCUUUUAUGAAGCCAACCACGAGUAGUUUGGCCAGUUCUUUCUUGAUGGCUUCCCUUCUGUCUUGGGCAAAUCAUUGUAGGCGUUGCUGUUUAGGUGUAGCUUUUGGUUCACGUUGAGUGAGUGCUGGAUCAACUCCCUGGGCAUCCUCGGCAUGUCCGCCGGUUUCCAUGUGAAGAUAUCUCGGUUGGCCCAGAGGAAACUAACGAGCGCACUUUCCUAUUUAGGAUCCAGCCUUGUGCCAAUCAGUGAUGUCUUGGAGCUAUUACCAGUCUCAAGGUUAAUGGUUUUGACGUCUACUUCACUUGCCGACUUGACCUUGGUUGUCCUGAUUUCUUUUCUAGAAUCUCGAGCUCUGACGGGAACAGAUUCUUGGAUGCGGUGAAGACUUGCAUCAUUUUGUUUGGUACUUGGGUUGUUGCUGCUAGCUCCAUGGCUUCUAUGUUGCAGUCAUACGACCUUUUCAAGUCUCCACACAGGGAGAACACUCCUCUGGGUCCUGACAUCUUGAGUACUAAGUACACGUAGUGCAGGAUGGCCAUGAAUUUGGCUAAUGUUGGUCUUCUGAGGAUGGCGUGGUACGAUGUUUCAAAAUCCGCUACCUCAAACGGGAUGUAUUUUGUCAGGUAUUGCUGUUUGGUCCCAAAGGUAACUUGCAAAACCAUCUAUCCAAGGGGUACAGCCGCGUGGCUCAGGACGAUCCCAUAGAAUGGAGAGUUCAUUGGGGGUAAGCAUAUCAGUGAUGUCAAGGCCCAUCUUCUUCAGUGUCUUGGCGAAUAGUACAUUGAGAUCCCUACUGCCAUCGAAGAGUACUUUAGUAAGUUUGGAGCUAGCGACAACUGUGUCCAGGACGAAAGGAUAUCGUUCUGGGUCUGAGAAACUAGUCCAUUGGUCCUUCCUGGAAAAGUUAAUUGGCACCUCGGACCAUUUGAGGAACAUUGGCGUCGCAGGUUCAAUGGAUAUUAUCUCUCGAAGAGCGAGCUUCUAGGACCACUUAGUAGCAGUACCCAGGGUUCCACCGAAGAUGACACUGAUGGUAUUGGAUGAGUUCUGAAACUUUCCAUUGUCACCAUCGUCUUCAUCUUCCUUGGCUUUGUCCUUGUCUUUGGUGCUAGAUGGCUCUAGUAGGUCUUUCAUAACUCUGCGUAGACUAAAAAAUCUAUUGUGGAGUGCUUGUGGUAUGGAUGCCAUGGGCACUGUUUCUUUAGAAGCUCAUUGAAUGAGGGCCUAUCUUGAUUUUUGCCGCCUCCUUUCUUUGAUGACAGUGAAAUUGCCGUGAAAGUUUUGUUUGGCUUGUGCUUGCGGUUGUGACCUCCCGAGUAAUUAUUUCGGUUGUCAUUGUUAGGGAGAUCGUUGCGAUUUUUGUCAUUGUGUUGGCCAUUCUUAUGAUUGUUGUUGUGCUGACCCUUGUUGCAAUUGGAUUCGAACUUUUCAAUCUCCCUGUCUUCUUCGUCUGCCCACAUCUAUACCAUGAUCUUGAGAGAUUUGACAUCAGCGGGAUGUCGUUUGCCGAAGUCGUGGAACAUUUGGCGGUGGUGGAGGCUGUUCUGGAAGCAGUCAAUAAUGUCAUGCUCCGUGAUAUGCACGAUUGUGGCUUUCUUGUCGAAAAAGUGACGUAAGUAGGUCUGCAGGGUUUCGACUUCUAGUUGUUUGACCUGGACAAGUCGAUCCUGUUGCCAGGACACCGCAUUGCCCCUGCGUAUUUGUUGGUGAAUGCCACCUUGAGGUCUUUCCAUGAGUUGAUGGAGUUCUUGUCCAACGAUUUGAGCCACGUGAGUGACGCCACCUCCACGCAUAUGGGGAAGUAGAUGACUUUGGUGUUGUCGUUUUCCCUAGCUGCUUGUACUGAUAGCGAGUAGCAUCGGAGCCAUUGGUUUGGGUCCUGCUUGCCAUCAUACUUGGUGAUACCCGGAGGUUUGAACUUUUCAUGUAGAGUUGUCCUUCUCACACAUCUUGAGAAGACGGGGAACCCAUCAGUAUAAUCUCUUAGGUGUUCGACUUCUUGCUCGUGCUUGCGGCGCCAUCCGUCAAUGAUGGUACGGGCGUCGCGGCUAGUGGUGAUCUUGUUGCGGAGGUCUUCUACUGGGUGUUUGGGUUCUAGGUUAUCCCCACGGUGGCCACGGCCUCCCGAGGGUCCUGCUCGACUACCUUCAGCUCCAGCUUAGCUUGGUCUGAUGUCUUCGAGUUGACUUGGUCUAGACGGAGGGCCUCUAUGGCUGCUGCAAUGUUGACUUCGCUGGGAUGCGGUGCGUUGGACUGACUAUAUUGGAUUCUGCUGAUCGAGUUGUUCGUACGCGUGUUCUGCCAGUUCAGCCAACUGCCUAGUGUACUUGUUCUGCAACAUCGUGCGGGUGAUGAGAUCAAUAGACGUGAUGGUGACGAGGGGAGUACGAUGGUGAUACGUUUGAACUGCUUCAAAGGCGUUAUCCAGGUUCAGAAUUGGUAGGCCCGCUGCAAGGUGGCGGUGGCGUUCUACUCUUGUAGCAUUUCUUACUCGUCGUCGAGUUCUUUGAUCCUCUUCUCUGACAACGUUGGCAGUGAGCUCAUCCUGCGAGACGUCAUUUGGGUGACGCUCGUGUGGCGGGUUUCUAUCCCGUUGCUCUUCUUUUUCGUCCUGUUGCCCAGUAAUGAGAGCGAAGAGUUCUUGUUUUGGGGAAUAGAUUCCCGAGCUCGAGGUGAUGACCUUCGUGGUGUUGUCUUCCUCGUAGAUGGGUGACAAAGAAGUUCCCUCCUUGUACGGGAGAGUGUCGAGGUAAGCAAUGAGCCGUGAAUCAUCAUUUUUAGUAAGAGCGAGUGGCUUCAUUUUGGGCCAAUAGAUGAAUCUGCCGUGGGGAGUUCAUGUGAUUACCAGGCCCUGUUGUGGACCUGAUAAAGGAGUUUCUUUAUCCGGGUCCGAGUAGUAGUCAAAGUUCUUGAUCAUAUCCAUAUCGGAUUGUGAUCUGGAUAGGGCAGUGUGAUAAUUAGUGGCUGUGUUGUGAAGUCCGAAUGGGAAUCGACUCUAGUGGUAAUCCGACAUGAACAAUGGCUUAUGCGUCGGCUCGUAAAGGUUAAUCCGACUAGCGGAAGAAGUCGAGUUGUACUCGGCCUCGUCCCCCAGCCUUUGACUAGGUUAGAAAUUAAAAAUUUGCCAAAAUUCUCGACGAGAUCCUCCAGAGCUUUGGAUUGGAGCUUCAUGGUUUGCUGCUUCAUCUCCAGAGCCGGCACAAUAUGGAGGCGGAAAUUUCCAGCACCGUCUGCGAUGCAAACCCAAGAGACGAAGUGGACAUCAUGCCUACUUCAAACGUGACGAUUGGCUUGAUGAUGACUUGUGCCAUUGAGUUCACCAGUGAAUUCCCGGCAAGAGCCCCUACCUAGUGCGCCAGCUGUCGGUGUUUAAAUCUGGCAACCUAUCGAGGGGAGUGCCUGAGAUAGUGUUUUAGUUAGUGGGACUCGUCGAGAUCAGGAACUCGAAGGUAAACGCAAACACAUGAUUUAUACAGAUUCGAACCGCUGAAUAGCAUAAUACCCUACGCCUGUAUGUUGGUUGGAUUAAAUUGUAUUAGAAGAGAUCCCCACCUUGUUUUAUAUUAUCGGGAGUAGGCUUACGGAUUGGCUGAUCCUUGGAGGAAUCCAAGGCCACGGGAAAGCCGGAUGGGUUGCCCUCUCACUCUCCCAAGCUGCAAUAACUCCGGAGAUGCGGCGCGCAGGUUAGCCUCUGACUUUGUUCUUCCAACCUCUCCUCUUGCCUCUUCUGCACCCGCGCCGCAGUGUCAACGCUUUGCUGUUUCAUUAUCAGAAAUAAAAACUAAUCAGCAGGUUAUCGAUCGAAUCCUGUCGUCUCAGCCUAUAGUCGGCUGUACUUAUCCAGGAUCCCAAAGGUCAAACACCGGUUCCACCAUCACUAGCAGCUAGCCGUACCAGACACCGACUGAUCGGUACUGUGUGCAGAAUGUCAACCACGAGAGCUAUAAAUUCCUCCUGUCGUUGCUAGACAGCAGCAUCCCAAGCACAAAGCCACAGCGAUCGAGCUAGCAGCUUCAGCUAGCUCACACACAGUGACACAGGUCGAGCAGCAGCAAGACGAGAGAGAUCGAGGGAUGGACAUGGAGCGCGGCGCGCCGGGGAGCUCGCUCCACGGCAUGACCGGGCGCGAGCCGACGUUCGCCUUCUCGACGGAGGAUGCCACGGCGGCGAGCAAGUUCGACCUGCCGGUGGACUCGGAGCACAAGGCCAAGACCAUCAGGCUCUUCUCCUUCGCCAACCCGCACAUGCGCACCUUCCACCUCUCGUGGAUCUCCUUCUUCACCUGCUUCGUCUCCACCUUCGCCGCGGCGCCGCUGGUCCCCAUCAUCCGCGACAACCUCAACCUCACCAAGGCCGACAUCGGCAACGCCGGCGUGGCCUCCGUCUCCGGCUCCAUCUUCUCCCGUCUCGCCAUGGGUGCCGUGUGUGACCUCCUCGGCCCGCGCUACGGCUGCGCGUUCCUCAUCAUGCUCGCCGCGCCCACUGUCUUUUGCAUGGCCAUCAUCGACGACGCCGCAGGCUACAUCGUCGUCAGGUUCCUAAUCGGCUUCUCUCUAGCAACGUUCGUGUCGUGCCAGUACUGGAUGAGCACCAUGUUCAAUAGCAAGAUCAUCGGUACCGUCAAUGGGUUGGCCGCCGGCUGGGGAAACAUGGGCGGCGGCGCCACGCAGCUCAUCAUGCCACUCGUCUAUGACAUCAUCCGCAAGUGCGGCGCCACACCCUUCACGGCGUGGCGUCUCGCCUACUUCGUGCCUGGGUCACUGCACAUCGUGAUGGGAAUCCUUGUGCUCACCAUGGGGCAAGAUCUCCCCGAUGGAAACCUCCGUAGCCUCCAGAAGAAGGGCGAUGCCAACAAGGACAAGUUCUCCAAGGUUAUGUGGUAUGCUAUCACCAACUACCGGACAUGGAUCUUCGUCCUGCUCUACGGCUACUGCAUGGGCGUCGAGCUCACCACCGACAACGUCAUCGCUGAGUACUACUUUGACCACUUCAACCUGGACCUUCGAGUUGCCGGCAUCAUCGCCGCCUGCUUCGGCAUGGCUAACAUCGUGGCAAGGCCCCUGGGCGGGAUCCUCUCUGAUGUUGGUGCGCGCUACUGGGGCAUGCGUGCCCGCCUUUGGAACAUCUGGAUCCUCCAGACCGCAGGCGGCCUUCUGCCUUUGGCUUGGCCGCGCUACCACACUCCCUGCCUCAAUCACCGCCAUGGUGCUCUUCUCAUUCUGCGCUCAGGCCGCCUGUGGCGCCAUUUUUGGUGUCACCCCUUUCAUCUCCCGCCGCUCCCUUGGCAUCAUCUCCGGCAUGACCGGCGCCGGCGGCAACUUCGGUGCAGGACUGACCCAGCUGCUUUUCUUCACCUCAUCCAAGUACUCCACGGGCAUGGGCCUGGAGUACAUGGGCAUCAUGAUCAUGGCGUGCACGCUGCCCGUGGUGUUCGUGCACUUCCCCCAGUGGGGAUCCAUGCUCUUCCCGGCCAACGCCGGCGCCGUUGAGGAGCACUACUACAGCUCCGAGUGGAACGAGGAGGAGAAGAGCAAGGGGCUCCACAGUGCCAGCCUCAAGUUUGCCGAGAACUGCCGCUCUGAGCGUGGCAAGCGCAACGUCAUCCAGGCCACCUCCAGCACGCAGCCUAACAACACGCCAGAGCACGUCUGAGAGAAACUCCUGCUGUUUGUGUUUGUGCGUAUGUUCCUACUCUGAGGUUACAAGCACACGUAUGUUGUAUCGGUGAGGGCAAAGUUUGCAUUUUGUUGUGUAACACGUAUUGCUGUUGUACACAUAAAAAGUUAGAUGUUGUCACACUCAUCGUAUACAUACAUAAAUGGAUUAUAGUAGGUGCACAAGGGUUCAUUAUAUUUUUCUUUGCCGCUACCUUUUGAUAUGAGAAAGUAAUGAAAAAAAUAUAUAUUGAUCAUUUUUUUCUUACAACAUAGUGUAAGGCAUGGUUUGACCAUGUAUGAUCUCCAACGCUAUAUUUUGAGUAUUGAUAUCUCAUUUCUACCUAAUAUUAAAGUACGGUUGUUUCUUCCAACUGUUAUAGUUAUUUUUCAAAGAAGUCUCUUAACUUUUUCGUAAUCAACCCGCAGUCCUUGGAAUAGCUCUUGAUGAUUUUGUAAAAAGUUCCCCAAACUUUACUGCAAUUGACGCGAGGUCCAGCCUUUGCUCCUGUGUUCACAAGUAGGGCAAGCGGCAGUAGUCCAUGGCAAAACAACCAUAAUGCCACACGCCUCGACAUGCUCGCCUGCGCCUCUGCGUCUGCCACUGGAGAGCCCACGCGCCGCAUCAUCUGCCGCCGCGCAUCGCUGGGUAAGUAGGGCUCACCCCCGCGCCCCUCGCCCAGCUGCAUCAUCCGCCACCAUGAGCCAUUGGGUAAGCAGGGCUCGCCCCCACGGCCCCGUCCAGCCGUCCAUUGUGGAGGUGCAUCAGCCACCUGCUCAAUGGAGGCAAGAACUCCGCGUUCAAUGAGCUCAUUGCCUCCGUCCCUGAUGCCCUAACCCAUGACUAAUUGUUGGCUAAAACUUACUAUAGAUUUUGAUAUGUUCAAAUUAAAAUACACCUUAGUUUCUGGAUCUGUCAUCAUUUCACCUUAAAUUUCCCACCGGUUGUGUAUCAGGCACUACCUCCUCCAGCAUGACAGUGUUAACGUGCGCUGGCUUAUCUGCAAGCGAGCCAUGUACUUAGCACUGACAGUCGCUCUCACUCAUUGACCUAUACACAAUUGCAGCAACAGUUCAUGAACCUCAUGCUUGUUUUGACUUUGCACGUCUCGUUUGCUUCAAAGUUGACAUUGGAUUAUUAGAUCAGCCAAUUAAUCUCCAAUUGCAUAUUUCAUACAGCAGCUGGUGAUAAGCCUAUGGAUGGGGCCAACAAGUACCUGAGCUGUCCUGCCAGUUUCUUUUAUAUAUGUGCAUGCACUUCCGUCGACAUGUUGGCUGCCUCCAAUCGUUGCGACCUGCUGAUCCGGUAGUAGUCGACAGUUAUCUGAAAUGCGUAUGCCUUAUUAUUAACAAAAUUAGCAUGGCCAUUGAAUUUAUACAAACUUUGGCAAAGCUAGCUGAUCAACUCACAGCUAUGCUCAGUCGGAUUUUGGAUGAGGUAAGUCGUCCAUGUGAACAGAAUAAGGUCACAAGAUGUCCAUAAGAGCACAGUAUUUUCAUACUAAAGUAGCAUUUUCUACCAGUAAUUGAGGUUAGAUAAAGAAGACGUCUGUUUCAGCAAAUUUACUUAUUGAGUGUAUCUUUUUUUUUUCUUCUCUCCGAAAUGGUAAGCGUAUUAAACUCACGCCUCCUGUAUUUCAAACGACCGGUAUUAGUGAAACUUUCUUUUUAUGGAACAGGAGGGGAAGGUCCUGCUGAUUAUAUUAUAUAUUAAAGAGAGGAUGUUAACUUAAAAAAAAUUAUGAAACAAAGCACAAAAAGAAAAAGAUCAUAAACAUUACAAUGUCUGCUCUAGCCAUGAAGACAUUUGAAGUUUCCAGUCCUCUUUUACUUUAAGAAUAACCUGAGUAAAAACUAAUUUGAAUCGGAUCAAACAUGUUUGCACUUAAGGAGAGAUCCCUUCAAAGAUCCAAUCAUUUCUAACUAUCUAGAUGCUCCAACUAAUAAUAAUGAUAAUUUCCAUAAAGAACUGUACAUGUAGCUGUGUUCUGAAGGUUUCUAAAAUUGCAUAGGGCUCGUUAGAAAGCUUCAAGAACAGGCCAAGGUGAAUCAAGCAUUCCUGAGCAAAAGAGCAACCAAGUAGAAGGUGAAAUAAGGUUUCCUCACCUUCAUGCUGAUAUAGAACACAAUCAUAUGAAAAAUGGAACAUGUUCUUCCUUAUAAGAAUGUUCCUGAGCCUGUCUUUAAGUACCAACCAGAAGAAGACUUUAUGUUUGUUUUGACAACGUGAUUUCCAUAGCCACUAGAACACUCGGUGAACCUAUCUAUGGCCAGUGAGAUGGCGGUAGACUUUUGAUGAUGAGAAAUAAGAGUUCCUUCAUAUAUAUGUCCACACAUCGGAUCAUUAUUUAAUGCUAGGUCCUCCAAAAUGUGAGCGAGAUGAACUAGUUGGUCAAGAGCUUGAGCUCAUAGAGGGAGAUGGAACAAAUGCUGUAUAUCCACUAUUUCCUGAGCUUUUGAAUCGAGAUGUGUUGCUUUUUGGUGAAGGAGAAGAGGUGAGGAUAUGCCUAGGCAGGUACUCAUUCUUUCCAUAAAUCAUUCCAAGUAAACAUGUCUGUCCAUCAUUAAUGGUAACCACUACCAAAUCUUUAAAUUUGUCGAUCAACUUUAACACAUCCUUCCACCAAAAAGAACAUUUCUUUACUUGGUUUGGUAACUUGCCAUUAUAGUAGUAUUUCUCCCACAUCAGGUGAACCCAAGGAAUGUCUUCUCUAUUGAAGAAUUUAUGAAAAAUUUCAGUACCAAAGCCGCAUUCUGGGUUUUGAUAUUCAGAACACCCAAACCCUCCUCUUUCUUUGGGAGGCAAACCAUCUCCCAAGCUGCUUUAGGGGGAGAUUUGUUGUUAAUACCCGAUCCUCUCCAAAGGCAAUAUUUUCCGUACUUGUCAAUUUGUUUAUACAAUGUUUUAUGUAGGAUAAAAGUACACAUAUAAAACAUAGGCAGAGUAGUGAAAACUGAAUUGGUUAAUUCCAGACGCCCUAUUUGAGACAGAAAAGAUGAGGUGCUGACUAGUCUCCUUUCACAUCUAGACACCAUUGGAAGGAAUUCUUCCACUUUUGCCUUUGUGAGACCUAGAGGCAGACCCAAAUAAGUGAAUGGCAGAGUUCCCAUUGCACAGCCAAAUAGCUGAGAUAGAGCUUGUAACCUUUCAUCUAAAACAUUGAUUGGCACCAUCAUGGACUUAGAGUAGUUACCUGUAAGGCCAGUGCAGAGAGCAAAUGACUGAAGAAUGUUCUUGAGAAUUUGCAGUUGGGAGGGGCAGCCUUCCAUUAUAAGGAGCGUGUCAUCUGCAUACUGGACAUUGGGGAAGUUCUGACUGUGAGAGAGGAGAAUUGGUAAUCAUAGAAGCCCUUGUCUCUUAGCAUCAUUUAGAAGAGAUUGUAAUAAGUCUCUUAGCAUCAUUUAGAAGAGAUCAUAAUAAGUCAGCUGCCAAAACAAAAAGGAGUGGAGAGAGGAGGUCCCCUUGUCUUACUCCUCGUCUGCAAUGAAAUGUUUUCCCUGGGACUCCAUUCAACAAGAUGGAGGAAGUACCUGAACUGAAAUUUGCUGCAUCCAACCCAGCCAUGCUGUCCCAAAACCUUUAUGUUUCAUGAUAGUCAACAUUGCUUCAUGUUCGAUCGUAUAAAAGGUUUUUUCAAAGUCCAGUUUAAGAAUCACAAUUUCUUUCUUUGUUUUAUGACAUAGAUGCAGAUACUCAAAAGCCCAAGCCAAACAAUCUUGAAUGGUCCUUAUUUUGAUAAAUCCAUAUUGAUUUUUGUGGAUAAUAUCUAUGAUGACUUUCCGUAAUCUAUUUGGCUAGGAGCUUUGUCAGAAGCUUCGUGGAGGUAUUCAGAAGAGAGAUUGGCCAGAAGUCUGACACUUUACAAGCCACAUCUAUUUUUGGUAAUAAAGUGAUAUAGGAACCAUUAAUGCUUCAAAGACAUAUAUUUCCAAAAUGAAAAGAUGCCCAAAGGUCAUAAAAAUCUAGUUUAAUUAGAGGCCAGCAUCUGUUAAUGAAAUUGAUAUUAAAGCUAUCAUGUCCAGGAGACUUAUCAGUAGACAUAUUUUGAAUUACAGAGUCUAUCUCUUCAUGACUAAAUGGUUCCUCUAAGCAUUGUAAGUUGUCAGAUAUUUGAAGGAGCUGUUCUAGGUCAAAUACCAUGGGAUGAGAAUCUGAAGUACCAAGCCUCUCCUUGUAUGCUUCCCAUAGGAUUGAUUCUUUUAGCAUGAUGUUGUGAUUGGAGAUUGCUAGAAACUUGAGGCAUCAUCUGGGAAGAGAGGUGUGACCCAAGCACCAAGCAGAGAUCGUACCUUGGCAGAGAAAUUAAGCCCCAGGCACAAAUCGAUGUUGGGAGAAUCCAUCAUGGAACCGGGAAGGAGCUUGAGCGAGAAACACUGGGUAAGGUCUGACUGGUGGGUCGAGGACCCGAAGGUCGCCUGACCGCUCACCAUAAUGAUGAACAAUCAGUGUGCACAGGUUAUGUGAGGUUCUUUCUCAUAACGGUGGAGGUUUGUGAGUUUUUCGAACAAAUUAGAUUCAAUGGCUAUAGUUGUCAGCAAUGAUUAAGUCUAUCGAAAUACUAGGAAUAUUUAUGUUCUUGUCUAUAGAUGUCCAUACAGCCCGACAGCUCGGCAUGAAGCCUGAUUUUUUAGCCCGUUCCAAGCCCGACCUAGCCCGUAACUCUUCAAGCUCGGGCUGGCCCGACGUGAUGGCUCAUGACAGGUGUGGGCCUGCCCCUCGGCCCGAUGGGUGGCCUGGCCCAGCAUGAUUUUAAUGUGUCGGCCCAAAAUGGCCCAUUAACCUCCUUCCUACCGGUCCAACAACAGCCUGCUAGCUCUCACCCGUCCCCCCUUCUUCUCCCUGUGACCCUAUCUCCUCUCCUUGUGACCCUAUCUGCUGCCCACCGCCACCUCCUCUAUCUCUCACAUGGCUCCAUGCCUCAAUCCUCCCCUUCCUCUCCAAACCUCCGCCUCCUCUUCGGCCGACAGCGACGGCACGAGGGGUCGGGAGCAGCGGCAGCUUGCGCGGGAGGCCGGCAGCGGCGGCGGCCUGAGGGGCUAGAGCAGCGGGCGCGACGCAGGAGGCCGGAAACAGUGGACGUGGCGUGGGAGGUCAGUAGCGGCGGGCGCGACGUGGGAGGCUAGCGGCGGCGCCAGGGGCCGGGAGCGACGGCAGCUUGCGCAGGAGGCCGGGAGCGGCGGUAGCCUGAGGGGCUAAAGCGGUGGGAGCGGUGCGGGAGGCCAGUAGCGGUGGCAACGCAGGAGGCCGGCAGCGGUGACGGCUCGCACGGGCACGAGGGGCCGGGAGUGGCGACAACUCGCACGGGAGGCCGGCAGCGGCGGGCGCGGCGCGAGGGAGGCUGACAGCGGCCGCGGCGCGGGGGCCUGCCGUGCCUCGCGUGGCCCAAAGCCGCCCGUGCUCGACGGGCCGGCCUGGCACAGAAAUGGCAUUGCCCGUCGGUGCAGCCUGUGGGCUGUGGGCUGGCACGGCAUGGCACAAAAAUUAACGGGUCUUGCCGGGCUCACGCCAGACCGGCCGGGCAGUCCGAAUGGACACAUAUAUUCUUGUUGUAGCAUGCCUGUACAGAGUAACAUGGAGGCAAAAAAAAGGUCUCAUAGUAAGAUAAAAUGUUUGUAUUUGAUUUGAGACAAGUGGUUACAAGUACACAAGAAACUUCUCACUUAGCUGCAGUGCUACAAUCAACCUCAUGUCUUUUUGCUUAUAUCAUGCCUGCAUAUAUAUGUACUCAAUAAUUUUCCUAUACGUUCUCUGGCGUGUUGUUAGGCUGCGUGUUGGAGGUGGCCUGGAUGACGUUGCGCCUGCCACGCUCAGAGCGGCAGUUCUCGGCAAACUUGAGGCUGGCACUGUGGAGCCCCUUGCUCUUCUCCUCCUCGUUCCACUCGGAGCUGUAGUAGUGCUCCUCAACGGCGCCGGCGUUGGCCGGGAAGAGCAUGGAUCCCCACUGGGGGAAGUGCACGAACACCACGGGCAGCGUGCACGCCAUGAUCAUGAUGCCCAUGUACUCCAGGCCCAUGCCCGUGGAGUACUUGGAUGAGGUGAAGAAAAGCAGCUGGGUCAGUCCUGCACCGAAGUUGCCGCCGGCGCCAGUCAUGCCGGAGAUGAUGCCAAGGGAGCGGCGGGAGAUGAAAGGGGUGACACCAAAAAUGGCACCACAGGCGGCCUGAGCGCAGAAUGAGAAGAGCACCAUGGCGGUGAUUGAGGCAGGGAGUGUGGUAGCGCGGCCAAGCCAAAGGC